rnacentral:rRNA from 1 species
GAACGACGCGUGGUAGCGGUGGAUUAGGCAUGCAAGUCGAACGGGAUCGGGAAGAUAGCAAUAUCGGCCCGUGGGAGUGGCGGAAGGGCGAGGAACACGUGAGCAACCUGUCCUUGAGGUAGGGAAAACCUCUGGAAACGGAGGCUAAUACCGAAUGUGGCGCUCCGGCACAUGCCGGGCACGCCGAAAGGGGGCCGAAAGGCUCUCCCUCAUCGAGGGGCUCGCGCACCAUCAGCUUGUUGGCGGGGUAACGGCCCACCAAGGCAUACGGUUAGCUGGUCUGAGAGGAUGGCCAGCCGCACUGGGACUGAGAUACUGCCCAGACUCCUACGGGAGGCUGCAGUCGAGGAUCAUUCGCAAUGGGGGAAACCCUGACGAUGCGACGCUGCGUGGAGGAUGAAGGCCUUCGGGUUGUAAACUCCUGUCAUGACGGAAAAGGAGAGGGGACCCAACACGUCCCUUAUUUGAUGGUACGUCAAGAGGAAGAGACGGCUAACUCUGUGCCAGCCGCCGC